rnacentral:rRNA from 1 species
AGCAGCCGCGGUAAUUCCAGCUCCAAUAGCGUAUAUUUAAGUUGUUGCAGUUAAAAGCUGUAGUUGAAUUUCGGGGUCAAUAAGUUGGUCAUGCCAAUGGUAUGUACUGGCUUUAUUGUUCCUACCUCUUGACGAACUGUGAUGCCAUUAAUUUGGUGUUGCAAGGAAUCAGGACUGUACCUUGAAAAAUUAGAGUGUUUAAAGCAAGCUUACGCUUGAAUACAUUAGCAUGGAAUAUGAAAUAGG